rnacentral:rRNA from 1 species
UCCUACGGGAGGCAGCAGUGGGGAAUAUUGCACAAUGGGCGCAAGCCUGAUGCAGCAACGCCGCGUGAGGGACGAAGGCCUUCGGGUUGUAAACCUCUUUUAGUAGGGAAGAAGCGACUGGGUUUUCCUGGGAGUGACGGUACCUGCAGAAAAAGCACCGGCUAACUACGUGCCAGCAGCCGCGGUAAUACGUAGGGUGCAAGCGUUGUCCGGAAUUAUUGGGCGUAAAGAGCUCGUAGGCGGUUUGUCGCGUCUGCUGUGAAAACCCGAGGCUCAACCUCGGGCCUGCAGUGGGUACGGGCAGACUAGAGUGCGGUAGGGGAGAUUGGAAUUCCUGGCGUAGCGGUGGAAUGCGCAGAUAUCAGGAGGAACACCAAUGGCGAAGGCAGAUCUCUGGGCCGUAACUGACGCUGAGGAGCGAAAGCAUGGGGAGCGAACAGGAUUAGAUACCCUGGUAGUCCAUGCCGUAAACGUUGGGAACUAGAUGUGGGGACCAUUCCACGGUCUCCGUGUCGCAGCUAACGCAUUAAGUUCCCCGCCUGGGGAGUACGGCCGCAAGGCUAAAACUCAAAGGAAUUGACGGGGGCCCGCACAAGCGGCGGAGCAUGCGGAUUAAUUCGAUGCAACGCGAAGAACCUUACCAAGGCUUGACAUAUACCGGAAACGGCUGGAAACAGUCGCCCCGCAAGGUCGGUAUACAGGUGGUGCAUGGUUGUCGUCAGCUCGUGUCGUGAGAUGUUGGGUUAAGUCCCGCAACGAGCGCAACCCUCGUCCUAUGUUGCCAGCACGUAAUGGUGGGAACUCAUGGGAUACUGCCGGGGUCAACUCGGAGGAAGGUGGGGAUGACGUCAAAUCAUCAUGCCCCUUAUGUCUUGGGCUUCACGCAUGCUACAAUGGCCGGUACAAAGGGCUGCGAUACCGCAAGGUGGAGCGAAUCCCAAAAAGCCGGUCUCAGUUCGGAUUGAGGUCUGCAACUCGACCUCAUGAAGUCGGAGUCGCUAGUAAUCGCAGAUCAGCAACGCUGCGGUGAAUACGUUCCCGGGCCUUGUACACACCGCC